rnacentral:lncRNA from 1 species
UUCAGUUUCUGGUCCCUGUUCAGUCUCUGGUCCCUGUUCAGUCUGGUCCCUGUUCAGUCUCUGGUCCCUGUUCAUUCUGGUCCCUGUUCAGUCUCUGGUCCCUGUUCAUUCUGGUCCCUGUUCAGUCCCUGGUCCCUGUUCACUUUGGUCCCUGUUCACUUUGGUCCCUGUUCAGUCUCUGGUCCCUGUUCAGUUUCUGGUCCCUGUUCAGUCUCUGGUCCCUGUUCAGUUUCUGGUCCCUGUUCAUUCUGGUCCCUGUUCAGUCCCUGGUCCCUGUUCAGUCUCUGGUCCCUGUUCAGUCUGGUCCGUGUUCAGUCUCUGGUCCCUGUUCACUUUGGUCCCUGUUCAGUCUCUGGUCCCUGUUCAUUCUGGUCCCUGUUCAGUCUCUGCUCCCUGUUCACUCUGGUCCCUGUUCAUUCUGGUCCCUGUUCAGUCUGGUCACUGUUCAGCCUCUGGUCCCUGUUCACUUUGGUCCCUGUUCAGUCUCUGGUCCCUGUUCAGUCUCUGGUCCCUGUUCAUUCUGGUCCCUGUUCAGUCUCUGCUCCCUGUUCACUCUGGUCCCUGUUCAGUCUGGUCCCUGUUCAGUCUGGUCCCUGUUCACUCUGGUCCCUGUUCAGUCUCUGGUCCCUGUUCAGUUUCUGGUCCCUGUUCAGUCUCUGGUCCCUGUUCAGUUUCUGGUCCCUGUUCAUUCUGGUCCCUGUUCGUUCUGGUCCCUGUUCACUCUGGUCCCUGUUCAGUUUGGUCCCUGUUCAUUCUGGUCCCUGUUCAGUCUCUGGUCCCUGUUCAGUUUCUGGUCCCUGUUCAGUCUCUGGUCCCUGUUCAGUCUGGUCCCUGUUCAGUCUCUGGUCCCUGUUCACUUUGGUCCCUGUUCAGUCUCUGGUCCCUGUUCAUUCUGGUCCCUGUUCAGUCUCUGGUCCCUGUUCAUUCUGGUCCCUGUUCAGUCUCUGGUCCCUGUUCACUCUGGUCCCUGUUCAUUCUGGUCCCUGUUCAGUCUCUGGUCCCUGUUCACUUUGGUCCCUGUUCAGUCUCUGGUCCCUGUUCAGUUUCUGGUCCCUGUUCAUUCUGGUCCCUGUUCAUUCUGGUCCCUGUUCAUUCUGGUCCCUGUUCAGUCUCUGGUCCCUGUUCAGUCUCUGGUCCCUGUUCAUUCUGGUCCCUGUUCAGUCUCUGGUCCCUGUUCAGUUUCUGGUUCUGGUGCUCUUCCUCUCCACAAAGUGGCUACAAAGUGUAUGUGCGCCACUACUCAGCACAGUAGCAGAGAUACAAUGUAGCUUUCUUAACUGCAACACCUUCACAAAGUCAUUUUUACGUAUGUCACGGCCUUGUGACCCCGUUACGUAA